AUGAUUUGACUGUCAUAUGCUUGUAGCCUCGUGUGUCUUUAGCAGCUUCGCCGAAAUAGGCAUGAUUGCUUUAGAUGGCGUGUGGUGGUUCUUGAUAACCGUGCUACUCUUGAGAAGAUAUCACCUUGGAGGUCUUGAGGGAGGGCUUUGAGUUUUGAUAGGGGUUAAUCUCCGUGCAUUAUGUGAAAAAUCUUUUUGGAAGAAUUGUGUUUUUAUUUUAGCUAAAGAGUUCGAUUUAUAUAGUCGAGGAAUAUGCAAUUAAAUUUAACAUUUCAACUCAUGCGUGGUAGUCUUUUUAACUGAGAUUAUUUUAACUGGGAAGAGCAGGAGAUCGCAAGAAAGAAAAUAGAAAGAGAGUAUAAAGAUAUCUGCUGGUUGAAGGAGAGACGCAGCGGCCAAAGACCAGAAACUGGCUGAUCAAUGGACCUCUAACAUAUCAGAUUCACCGAGUUUCUGG
rnacentral:lncRNA from 1 species